AGCUGAAUGGCGUAGUGGAAGCGCGCCGGGCUCAUAACCCGGAGGAGUAAGUUCAAGUCUGCGUACUAUUCUUCAGAAUUCAUUAUCUAACGGUAUAAAGCAACGGAUCGAAACCGUUUUCAGCUA